GCCUCCCUCUUUCUUCGUGCUUCCCCCCUGCACGUCGAGCGGAAAGGCCCUUCGGGGUCCUCGAGCGGCGAACGGGUGAGUAACACGUGAGUAACCUGCCCUAGGCUUUGGGAUAACCCCGGGAAACCGGGGCUAAUACCGGAUAUGACCUGGUGCCGCAUGGUGUUGGGUGGAAAGUUUUUUCGGCCUGGGAUGGGCUCGCGGCCUAUCAGCUUGUUGGUGGGGUGAUGGCCUACCAAGGCGAUGACGGGUCGCCGGCCUGAGAGGGCGACCGGCCACACUGGGACUGAGACACGGCCCAGACUCCUACGGGAGGCAGCAGUGGGGAAUAUUGCACAAUGGGCGGAAGCCUGAUGCAGCGACGCCGUGUGAGGGAUGAAGGCCGUCGGGUUGUAAACCUCUUUCAGCAGGGACGAAGCGUGAGUGACGGUACCUGCAGAAGAAGCGCCGGCCAACUACGUG
rnacentral:rRNA from 1 species